CAAUAAAAAAAAAUCCAUUCUUUUUUUAUUUUUCCACCAAACCAUCCCCUCCUCUUCCUUCCUCGCCCCCCUCGCCACCAUUGCAGCAGCCACACGGAGACAAGAGGGGGAGAUGAGCCGACGAGGAGACGACCAUCUCGCCGCUCACUAGCUAGCCGGCUGGCCGCAUUGCUCCCCCUCGUCAACCACCAGCGCGUAGCUUCCACGGGCGCGCCCCCACCGUCGCCGGCGCCGCAGCAGGGGGAGGGGGCUGAGCUGAGUUGAGCCAUGGGGGCGGCGGGCGAGGAGAUGGCGGCGGAGGCAAAGGAGGAGAGGAUACUGGUGUCAGUGCGCCUCAGGCCGCUCAACGGCAGGGAGGCCGGGGACAGCUCCGACUGGGAGUGCAUCAGCCCCACAACCAUCAUGUUCCGGAGCACCGUGCCCGAGCGCGCCAUGUUCCCCACCGCCUACACCUACGAUAGGGUGUUUGGCCCCAGUUGCUCUACACGGCAAGUCUAUGAAGAAGGGGUAAAAGAAGUUGCUCUAUCAGUUGUCAGUGGAAUUAACUCAAGCAUAUUUGCCUAUGGGCAAACAAGCAGUGGAAAGACUUACACAAUGACGGGAAUUACUGAGUAUAGCAUGCUAGACAUCUAUGAUUACAUUCAUAAGCAUCCUGAAAGAGAGUUCAUUUUGAAAUUCUCGGCCAUAGAGAUAUACAAUGAAGCUGUGAGGGACCUUCUGAGCCAUGACUCGACACCUCUUAGACUUCUAGAUGAUCCAGAGAAAGGGACUACUGUAGAAAGACUCACUGAGGAAACUUUAAGGGACUACAAUCAUCUUAGGGAUCUUCUAACAGUAUGUGAAGCUCAAAGGCAGAUUGGAGAAACUGCUUUGAAUGAAACAAGUUCCAGAUCCCAUCAAAUACUCAGAUUGACAAUUGAAAGUUCUGCUAGGCAGUAUUUAGGAAGAGGCAACUCAAGCACCCUUGUGGCUUGUGUGAACUUUGUUGAUCUAGCGGGAAGUGAGCGUGCAUCUCAGACCGCCUCGGCUGGUAUGAGGCUAAAAGAAGGCAGCCAUAUCAACCGAAGUCUGCUUACACUGGGAAAGGUCGUCCGUCAACUCAGCAAGGGAAGAAAUGGUCAUAUCCCUUACAGAGAUUCAAAGCUGACCCGUAUCUUACAGUCCUCUCUUGGUGGCAAUGCAAGAACAGCCAUUAUCUGCACAAUGAGCCCUGCGCAUACUCAUAUUGAGCAAUCCAGGAACACUCUUCUGUUUGCGACCUGUGCAAAGGAGAUUAUUACAAAUGCACAUGUCAAUGUGGUGAUGUCUGACAAAGCACUUGUGAAGCAUCUACAGAGGGAACUUGCGAGAUUAGAAAAUGAACUGAAGUUUCCUGGGUCGGCUUCUUGCACUACUCACACUGAGGCUUUGAGAGAGAAGGAUGCACAGAUUAAGAAGCUUGAAAAGCAGUUGAAAGAAUUGAUGGAGGAAAGGGAUACAGUUCAGUCUCAACUUAACUGUUUACUAAAAGGUGAUGGCGAUGACCAUGGCAAUGAGCACACUGCAAAGCGAUGGGAUGAGCAUAGUCGGUCAUCGGAGUCCCUUGCACGAAAUGUGUCUGAAGAGGCACUUUCAGUUGCUGAUGGGGUUGCCCAUCAAGAUCAAGAUUAUGCAUCGUUUAGUGGAUCCUAUGUCUGCAGUAGUGAUCAUAAUGACUCAGCAUUCCUCGGUGAAACAAGGGAGCUUCCUCGACAAACAUGGGAUCAAAAGUUGGUUUCACCUUGGCAUCCUCCGAGCAACCAUAGCUCUGACAGUAUAGAGCCAUAUCAUAUGAAGGAAGCAGCUUCAACAACUGCAUCAGAAGUAUCUGAAGAUCAUUGCAGGGAAGUGCAGUGCAUAGAGAUACAUGAGCAUGUAAGAAGCAGAAGCCAGGAAUUCAACCAAUUACUCCCUGAGGACACCAAGAUCCAAACACCUGAUGUAGAGGUGAUCUCCAAAGAUGCAGUCCCGCAAUCUGAUGAACAGCAAGGGCUUGAAAGCAUAAAAAAGAAAAUCGAAGAUCAUCAUGUCAAAUCAUAUCCCAUCAAUGACGAGCAACAAGCUGAGAAUAUAGCAAAGAUAGAGGAAGAUUCUGUCAAAAUGUAUCGAUGUGAAUCUGAAAUAAUUAAAGAAAAUGCUGUCAAACUGUAUACAUGUGAUUCUAACCAUUCUUUCAACAUUGACAAACCUUACCCUCAUGAAUGUUUGAGUCUGAAGAGGUGCAUAAUGAGCUCAAAGGAUCGUGCAUUGGCUAGAAGUAACAGCUGCAGGGCUAGCUUCAUGGUGAUUCCAAAUAGUUGGUUUGAUGAUUCUGACAAUACCAGCAGGACACCACCUGAUGAAAUCUUUAGGUAUGCUCCCAGAAGGCUUGAUAAGGUCAGGAGAAGCCUGUAUGCUGAGAAUGAUGAUUGCCAAAACGAAGACCCUUUACUGGACUGCUCCGUUGUUUCCUGUGAAGUAGCAUCUGAUGAAGUUGUCAAGGACAUGGGCACCACUGAUGAAGUAGCCAUGGAAAUGAGCACCAGUGAUGAAGUACCCAAGGAAAUGAGCACCAUUGAUGACGUAGCCAAGGAAAUGAGCACCAGUGACGAUGUAGCCAAGGAAAUGAGCACCAGCGAUGAAGAACAAGAAACCCAUGUCAAUGACAUCAGUUGUGUCGUGGAGUUCAAAGAGAACACAAAAAUUUGCCGUGAAGACCAAUCUGAGGAAUUUCAAGCACAAGUAAUCAUGCUUUCCAAGCUGAUUUUUCGUGAUUCAAUAUGUUUGAUCCAAGCAGCAGGCCAUUAGAGAUGACUCGACAACCAUGAGAACAGUCAAAGACGUCGGUGUAGAUAUAGCACUGAGUCCCAUCGAUUCUCCUUCCCAUCUGACAGUUGAUUUUGAGAAAAAACAGCAACAAAUUAUAGAGUUGUGGCACGAAUGCAAUGUCUCCAUUGUGCACAGAACCUACUUCUUCCUCCUCUUCAGGGGAGAUCCAGCAGAUAACAUAUACAUGGAAGUGGAGUACAGGAGACUGUCAUUCAUUAAGAGUUCGUUCAGUGCAGAAUCUGUGGCACAAGGGGAACUUAAUCCUGUCAUUGCAUCAAGCUUGAAGAAUCUUCGCCGAGAAAGGGAUAUGCUCUACAAGCAGAUGCUGAAGAAGCUCUCCAACGGAGAGAAAGAGAGCAUCUACAGCAAAUGGGGCAUCGAUCUGAGCACAAAACAACGAAGGUUACAGCUCUCCCGCCUCAUCUGGACACAGACUGACAUGGAGCAUAUCAGAGAGAGUGCCUCUCUUGUCGCGAAACUGAUCGACCUUCUAGAGCCUGGACAAGCACUAAAGGAAAUGUUUGGGAUGAACUUCAGUCUGGCUCCACGAACUGACCGGAGAUCGUUUGGCCUGGUAGGUUCUUACUCCAUGAAGUGAGCGUCAUGACAGAGAUGGUACAGCGACAAUGACAUGGACACAUGGUGGUGGUAGAAGAAUACGUAGUGCAGAGUUUGACUUGAUUGGACAAGAAUUGCUCCCCAUGGUUGAUUGAUUUCACUGAUGCCCUUAUCUGUUUUGAUGCUUGUCCACGUGCGUGGGUGCAUGUGGUUGAUUUUUUUUUCAUGUGUAAUUUCACGGAAGUGGAUAAAACCCAUCACCAGUUCUGACUCUGAAUGUGUAACAGUGUUUGUAACCACGUUUGUUAAUAUGGAUAUUGGUAAGGCUCGGAUCAAUGCAUCUAAGAAUUUUCCAAACAA